AACGCAUUAAGUUAUCCCCUGGGGAGUCGCCGCAAGGUUAAAAUUCAAAGAAUUCGGGCCUCCCAACGUGGACCAGUUUAAUUGAAGCAACGCGCAGAACCUACCAGCGUUCAUGGUAGGACGACUUCCAGAUGGAUUUCUUCCCUUCGGGGACUACACACAGUAUGCAUGUCGUAGUCAGCUGUGUGAGAGAUGUGGGUUAAGUCCGCAACGAGAGCAACCCUCGACUUUAGUUACCAUCAUUAAGUUGGGUACUUAAAGUACCCCGGUGAUAAGCCGGAGGAAGGGGGGGAUGCGUCAAGUCCUCAUGCCCCUUACGCGCUGGGCUACACACGUGCUACAAUGGCAAGUACAGUGGGCAGCAAUCCCGCGAGGGGAAUAAUCUCCAGAACAUGUCUCAGUUGGAUUGUGCUCUAACUCGCCGAGGCGAAUCCGCUAUAUCCGGUAAGAAGUAGGA
rnacentral:rRNA from 1 species